rnacentral:rRNA from 1 species
ACGCGUGAGAAUCUAGCUCUAGGUCGGGGACAACCACUGGAAACGGUGGCUAAUACGGGAUGUGCCGAAAGGUGAAAGAUUUAUUGCCUAGAGAUGAGCUCGCGUCUGAUUAGCUAGUUGGUGUGGUAAGAGCGCACCAAGGCGACGAUCAGUAGCUGGUCUGAGAGGAUGAUCAGCCACACUGGGACUGAGACACGGCCCAGACUCCUACGGGAGGCAGCAGUGGGGAAUUUUCCGCAAUGGGCGAAAGCCUGACGGAGCAAUACCGCGUGAGGGAGGAAGGCUCUUGGGUUGUAAACCUCUUUUCUCAGGGAAUAAGAAAGUGAAGGUACCUGAGGAAUAAGCAUCGGCUAACUCCGUGCCAGCAGCCGCGGUAAUACGGAGGAUGCAAGCGUUAUCCGGAAUGAUUGGGCGUAAAGCGUCCGCAGGUGGCACUGUAAGUCUGCUGUUAAAGAGCAAGGCUCAACCUUGUAAAGGCAGUGGAAACUACAGAGCUAGAGUACGUUCGGGGCAGAGGGAAUUCCUGGUGUAGCGGUGAAAUGCGUAGAGAUCAGGAAGAACACCGGUGGCGAAAGCGC